rnacentral:rRNA from 1 species
GACGAACGCUGGCGGCGUGCUUAACACAUGCAAGUCGAACGGUAAGGCCCUUCGGGGUACACGAGUGGCGAACGGGUGAGUAACACGUGGGUGAUCUGCCCUGCACUUCGGGAUAAGCCCGGGAAACUGGGUCUAAUACCGGAUAGUACUGCGCGGUGCAUGCCGUGUGGUGGAAAGAUUUAUCGGUGCAGGAUGGGCCCGCGGCCUAUCAGCUUGUUGGUGGGGUAAUGGCCUACCAAGGCGACGACGGGUAGCCGGCCUGAGAGGGCGACCGGCCWCACUGGGRCUGAGACACGGCCCAGACUCCUACGGGAGGCAGCAGUGGGGAAUAUUGCACAAUGGGCGCCAGCCUGAUGCAGCGACGCCGCGUGAAGAAUGACGGCCUUCGGGUUGCUAAACCUCUUUCAGCAUGGC